GGUGAACGCUGGCGGCGUGCCUAACACAUGCAAGUCGAUCGGAGCAGCAAUGCUUAGAGGCGAACGGGUGAGGAAAACGUAGUAACCAACCCUUUAGACUGGGAUAGCCACUGGAAACGGUGGGUAAUACCGGAUAAGCUCGAGAGAGGAAAGGCAGAGAAGCGCUAAAGGACGGAACUGCGCCCCAUCAGAUAGUUGGUGAGGUAAAGGCUUACCAAGUCAAAGACGGGAAACCGACGUGAGAGCGUGUACGGUCACAAGGGCACUGAGAGACGGGCCCUACUCCUACGGGAGGCAGCAGUGGGGGAUUUUGGACAAUGGGCGAAAGCCUGAUCCAGCGACGCCGCGUGGAGGACGAAGCCCUUCGGGGUGUAAACUCCUUUUCUCAGGGAAAAAGGAUGAUGGUACCUGAGGAAUAAGCCCCGGCUAACUACGUG
rnacentral:rRNA from 1 species